GCUGGUCUGAGAGGGCGAUCAGCCACACGGGCACUGAGACACGGGCCCGACUCCUACGGGAGGCAGCAGUGAGGGAUAUUGCGCAAUGGGCGAAAGCCUGACGCAGCAACGCCGCGUGGGCGAUGAAAGCCUUCGGGUUGUAUAGCCCUUUUCUGGGGGAAGAGGAAGGACGGUACCCCAGGAAAAAGUCCCGGCUAACUACGUGCCAGCAGCCGCGGUAAAACGUAGGGGGCAAGCGUUAUCCGGAUUCAUUGGGCGUAAAGCGCGUGCAGGUGGUGCUUUAAGUUGGGCGUGAAAUCUCCUGGCUCAACUGGGAGGGGUCGUUCAAUACUAAAGCACUUGAGGGCAGGAGAGGGAGGUGGAAUUCCCGGCGUAGUGGUGAAAUGCGUAGAUAUCGGGAGGAACACCAGUGGCGAAGGCGGCCUCCUGGCCUGCUCCUGACACUAAGACGCGAAAGCUAGGGGAGCGAACGGGAUUAGAUACCCCGGUAGUCCUAGCUGUAAACGAUGGAUACUAGGUAUGGGUGGCAUUGACCCCAUCCGUGCCGUAGCUAACGCGAUAAGUAUCCCGCCUGGGGACUACGGCCGCAAGGUUAAAACUCAAAGGAAUUGACGGGGGCCCGCACAAGCAGCGGAGCGUGUGGUUUAAUUCGAUGCUACACGAAGAACCUUACCAGGGCUUGACAUGCUGGUGGUACGGACCCGAAAGGGCGAGGACCCGCAAGGGAGCCAGCACAGGUGCUGCAUGGCUGUCGUCAGCUCGUGCCGUGAGGUGUCGGGUUAAGUCCCGUAACGAGCGCAACCCUUGCCGUAUGUUACAUGUGUCAUACGGGACCGCCGGCGAUAAGCUGGAGGAAGGUGAGGAUGAUGUCAAGUCAGCAUGGCCUUUAUGUCCUGGGCGACACACACGCUACAAUGGCCGGUACAAUGGGUAGCCAAGCCGCGAGGCGGAGCCAAUCCUCUAAAGCCGGUCUCAGUUCGGAUUGCAGUCUGCAACUCGACUGCAUGAAGGUGGAGUUGUUAGUAGCCGCGCGUCAGCCAUAGUGCGGUGAAUACGUUCCCGGGCCUUGUACACACCGCCCGUCACGUCAUGGGAGUCGGCAACACCUGAAGCCGGUGAGCUAACCGAAAGGAGGCAGCCGUCGAGGGUGGGGCUGGUGACUGGGACGAAGUCGUAACAAGGUAGCCGUAGCGGAAGCUGCGGCUG
rnacentral:rRNA from 1 species